GAAAACUAAUGUAUGGAAUCGAAUGCAGUUUCCAUCGAUGUAUUGCUUGAGGUCUAACUUAAAAUAUAGGAAAAACAGAUUCAGAGCAGCAACA